UACGGAGGGUGCGAGCGUUACUCGGAAUUACUGGGCGUAAAGCGGGCGUAGGCGGCUUGAUAAGCCGGUUGUGAAAGCCCCGGGCUCAACCUGGGAACCGCGUCCGGAACUGUCAGGCUAGAGUGCGGGAGAGGAAGGUAGAAUUCCCGGUGUAGCGGUGAAAUGCGUAGAGAUCGGGAGGAAUACCAGUGGCGAAGGCGGCCUUCUGGACUGACACUAACGCUGAGGUGCGAAAGCGUGGGUAGCAAACAGG
rnacentral:misc_RNA from 1 species